rnacentral:rRNA from 1 species
CAGCAGCCGCGGUAAUACGGAGGGUCCGAGCGUUAUCCGGAAUUAUUGGGUUUAAAGGGUCCGUAGGCGGGCCGUUAAGUCAGGGGUGAAAGUCUGCGGCUCAACCGUAGAAAUGCCCUUGAUACUGGCGGUCUUGAGUGAUGGUGAAGUGGGCGGAAUAUGUAGUGUAGCGGUGAAAUGCAUAGAUAUUACAUAGAACACCGAUUGCGAAGGCAGCUCACUAACCGUGGAUUGACGCUGAUGGACGAAAGCGUGGGGAGCAAACGGGAUUAGAUACCCCGGUAGUCCUGGCUGUAAACGAUGGAUACUAGCUGUCCGGUGCCUUGAGUACUGGGCGGCCCAGCGAAAGUGAUAAGUAUCCCACCUGGGGAGUACGUUCGCAAGAAUGAAACUCAAAGGAAUUGACGGGGGCCCGCACAAGCGGUGGAGCAUGUGGUUUAAUUCGAUGAUACGCGAGGAACCUUACCAGGGCUUAAAUGCAUUUUGACAGGGUCUGAGACGACUUUUCCUUCGGGCAAUUUGCAAGGUGCUGCAUGGUUGUCGUCAGCUCGUGCCGUGAGGUGUCAGGUUAAGUCCUAUAACGAGCGCAACCCCUACCGUUAGUUGCCAGCAUGUAAUGAUGGGGACUCUAGCGGGACUGCCGGUGCAAACCGCGAGGAAGGUGGGGACGACGUCAAGUCAUCACGGCCCUUACGUCCUGGGCCACACACGUGCUACAAUGGCUGGUACAGAGGGCAGCCAUGCGG